AACCAGCUCUUCAAGUGGUCGGGAUAAUUAUUGGGCUUAAAGUGUCCGUAGCUGGUAAGGUAAGUUCCUGGUAAAAUGAGGCAGCUUAACUGUCUUUAUGCUAGGAAUACUGCUUUACUAGAGGGCGGGAGAGGUCUGAGGUACUACAGGGGUAGGGGUGGAAUCUUAUAAUCCUUGUAGGACCACCAGUGGCGAAAGCGUCAGACUGGAACGCGCCUGACAGUGAGGGACGAAAGCCAGGGGAGCGAACCGGAUUAGAUACCCGGGUAGUCCUGGCCGUAAACGAUGCACACUAGAUGAUGGUGCGGCCAUGAGCCGUAUCAGUGUCGUAGGGAAACCGUUAAGUGUGCCGCCUGGGAAGUACGGUCGCAAGGCUGAAACUUAAAGGAAUUGGCGGGGAGCACCACAAGGGGUGAAGCUUGCGGUUU
rnacentral:rRNA from 1 species